UGGAAAACCAAACCCUGUGAAGUACAUUUGCUUUAUGAAUCCUCUACAAAAGGACAGAGCUGAGACUUGCAGGACUGUGAAUGAAAGUUGCAAGAUGAAGAAUGGAGCUGGGCUGUCCCAAAGAAAAGAGGUUUCCCUUCACCAAGAACGGGUUGAUAGGCAAUGGAGCCGUGUGUGUCUAAACUGUGCCACUGUGUCUUACUUCGCAGCACCCAGACGGGAGGUGGGAUCUCGGCUAAUGGUCCCAUUACCUUUGUUCCUUCCUGGAAUGUGGACAUGCUGAUGUAGAUGCUGGCUCAAGGUUCAACAUCCAUUUUGAGACAAUGAAGACAAAAAGUGGUGUAAGGAGACAGAAGG